rnacentral:rRNA from 1 species
CCAGACAGCCAGGAUGUUGGCUUAGAAGCAGCCAUCAUUUAAAGAAAGCGUAAUAGCUCACUGGUCGAGUCGGCCUGCGCGGAAGAUGUAACGGGGCUAAACCAUGCACCGAAGCUGCGGCAGCGACGCUUAUGCGUUGUUGGGUAGGGGAGCGUUCUGUAAGCCUGUGAAGGUGUACUGUGAGGUAUGCUGGAGGUAUCAGAAGUGCGAAUGCUGACAUAAGUAACGAUAAAGCGGGUGAAAAGCCCGCUCGCCGGAAGAC